rnacentral:lncRNA from 1 species
GUAUUGAUGAAAUAGUGGUUUUUACUAUUCUAUUGACAUUACACUAAUUGAUUUUUGGAUAUUAAGGCACCCUACAUUCCUGAGAUAAUCCCACUUGGUCAGGGUAUAUCAUUCUCUUUAUAUGUUCUAACAUUCAUUUUGUUAGUAUUUUGUUUAUGAUUUCUGUGUCCAUAUUCAUAAGACACAUUGGUCUUUAGUCUCCUUGUGAUGUCUUUGUGAAGUUUUGGCAUCAAUGUGAUACUGGUCUCACACAAUGAAUUGAGAAGAAAAGUGUUAAUAUUUACAAUUUUUCUAGGUGAAUGAAAAAUUUUUACCAAUCAAAACAGAAAAAUUACUGAAGCUGAUAAUAAAAUUAGAAGUGCCAUCCACAGCCCUGUGUAGAUGACACUGUUAUUUAUAUAAUCAACAGCCACCCCUCUUUCUCUCUUUCCUAAAGCAAAAUUUUCUUCAGGUGUGUGGGAAGCCAUGUGCUUCAGGGGGGUGUGGGCAGCCUCAGACCUGAAGAGGGGGCCCUGACUGGUCCAAACUAGUCAUAACAGAUCCACCUCUCUUGCCAGAGUCAGAAACGGCCAUGUGAGACAGUCAAGUGUGACACCAAGUCUGCAGCGGGGAGCCUCAUAGGAUGGGUUUCUUUGCACUUUAAAUGAUACAGCCCAUUUCUUCUUCUGGAAAUUGUCAUGUCUGGAUUCACGCAACUAUUAAAGCCACUCCUGCAGCCAUGGCAUCAGCACAGCUUCAACAUAGUGAAGACAGGAAAACAGAAAGAGCCUGGGUCAGUAAUGCUGAUACUGAGCUUCUGAACUGACCCAAUCUGGAGCCACUCAACCUUGAGUCUUCAUGGUUAAGUCUUUUGUUUGUAGAAACCGGAAUUCUUUUUUUUUUUUUUUGCUACCUGCCACUAAAAACAUUCUGGCUGUACAAUCAGUGGUGUGCUGAAGUCUGCUCAUACAGGUUCAAGACAGCUAAUUCUGCUCUUUCCCCAACAACUUGUUCAGGGACAUUACAUUGACAGCUUCAUGUCAACCGUGCUAAGAGUAAAGUAAGUACACUACAGAAACGCAACCACCACAAAUCAGUUAUUUUUUUCCCUCAGAGAUCCAGUCAUUAUUUCCAGCACACGACUAAAUACAACCCUAUCUCACACUUUCUGUUCAUCAAGCCAACCUUCUUAUUUCUAGAUAUAAUAAAGCUAUAAAUUAGUAUUUACCAAUUUACCAAUUUUCAUGCUUUUAAAAUGAAGAAAUGUAGUAUUUUUGUUCAUGAACACAUAAAGACAUUAUUUUUUCAUUUGUCUGGGUGGAGCCUAUGCAAUCCAUUGCAGGUAGGGAGGUAGUUCCAGUUUUUAAAUUAGAUGAUUCUGUGCUACUAUCUACAGUACAAAGUUAUAACCCUGUUCUCUGACACUACCUCAAGAAGAUGUUGCAGGUAUAAAGUGAAUUAUAACAUGCAUUAUAAGAAGAGUGCUGAAUUCACAUAACCAUUUUGAAAAUAAAACCUGAGACAAAAUCUCUAUUUUGAAAUAGGCAUGUGAUACAAUCCAUGAAAUUGCAUUAACGAUCUUCUUAAAGAUAAUGAAGUAAAGGAACACUGGCCAUGAGUAAGAUGAUUUGGUUUCCAGGUCUAAAGGUCAACUUGAUUAGCCCCCCGACCUCUGGCAAGCAGCAAUCUCUCUAACCUAAACCUAAUUUGUUAAAUGGGGCUAAUAUCUACCUAUUUCUCUUCACAGGAUGAGAUGAAGUCGACGAAAUAGCUAUCAAGUGAAAAAUGGUAUUAUGUCAGCCUUUAUUAUAUUACAUACACAUCUUAAUUCUUUUCACAAUUGUAUUUGGUUCCCCUUUGAUACAAAAGACAGCCUUAUAACCAGUAAUGUAUGAUGCUAGUUUCCCUGGUAACAAGCUAACUUCCUCACUGCUUUAAAAAGCUUUGUAUUAAAAAAAAAAAAAAUUCUUUUUUUUACUGCCUGUUUUUGACUUGCCUCAAAAAAAUACAUGAAUGAUAUCAAUAGGGUACUAUUACCACAACAUGAAACUGGAUGGGGAAAGAAAGCUAUAGAUCAUUUUCUGUAAGGGAUAUUGCUGCAAAAGUUCUAAACAAAAUACAAGCAAGUACAAUGAUUAAAAAAAUAAAAUACCUUAACCAAGUGAGAAUCAUUCUAGGAAUAUAAGGUUAACACUAGAAUAUUUACUAAAAUAAUUUGCCAAAUUAGUAGAUCAAAGGUGAAAAACUUUAAGCAUCUCAAUGCCCAAAAAUGCAUUUAAAUAAAUUAAACAACUACUCCCAAAUCCUUCUAAGGAAGUAAAAAUGGGCAAAAUUACCGUUAUUUGCAAUUGAUUAUUAACUGAACAAGGUACUGAAAAAAUAUUAGAAAAGUAAGAAAAUUGGAGUUCCCAUCACGGAUCAGAGAUUAGUGAACCAGACUAGCAUCCAUGAGGAUAUAGGUUAUAUCCCUGGUCUCGCUCAGUGGGUUAGGGAUCCGACAUUGCCGUGAACUGUGGUGUAAAUCACAGACACAGCUCGGAUCCUGAGUUGCUGUGGCUCUGGCGUAGGCCGGUGGCUACAGUUCCAAUUGGACCUCAGCCUGGGAACCUCCAUGUGCUGCAGGGUGGCCCUAAAAAGACAAAGAGAAAAAAAAGAAAGAAAGAAAGAAGAAUAAUUCAUUAUGCAGAUGAUGAUGAAAUUAACAUACAAAAAUCAAUAGUUUGUCUAUUUGCAAACAAAAGACGUAGUGAGAGAAAAGAUUCCAUUUAUUGCAACUGAACAGAAGUAAACCUAGGUAUAAACAACAAAAAUGAUAAAGAGCUCUACAAGGAAAAUUUUCAUCUCUAUUGAGGGAUCUCAGAAAAGACUGGGAUAGAAAUUCAGUAUUAGGAUGAGAGCAGCUUUAACAUUCUGGCUCCUGCAGGAAACUGAUGAGACACUCCCAGGAAGAGGAGAAAAUUGUGGAAGAACUGCUGACUUAGGCUGGGCUGGGUGAAGUUCCUGGGGGCUUAGCAACAGGAAGCUGUUAUCACCCUUAGGUGGAGGAAACAGCAGGCAGAAGGUGAGGCCUGAGGGAGAGGAACACAGCACCCAGAGGGGAAAGGCUGGAAACUCGGCCUAACCUCUCCUUCCCCCACCCUCCAUCUCCUACCAGCCCUCCCAAUCCAACAGAAAGCCACAGGCAAGGCAGCCAGCCCGGAUGACGCGGUCCAUGAGGAUCAGCCUCCUGCCACGCAGAGCAAGAUGGAGGGAGUGGCAAAUACCUUGGAAAGGGCAAAAAGUACAUCAGCACAAAGGCGAGCCUCUUGUGACUGUUUUGCCAGGCACUGCCCUAAGCACUUGACUUGGAUUAAUUCUAAUAAUACCAGUUUUCCCAAACUGCAAAUUCAAAUGAUCCCAGAAAAACACCAAUAGGAUAUCUUACAGUUCCCAUCACGGCUCAGUGGAAAUGAAUUUGAAUAGCAUCCAGGAGGACGCAGGUUCAAUCCCUGGCCUUGCUCAGUGGGUUAAGGAUCCAGCGUUCCUGUGAGCUGUAGUGUAGGUCGCAGACGCCAGCGGCUUGGAUCUGGCAUUGCUGUGGCUGUGGCGUAGGCCAGGGGCUGUAGCUCCGAUUCAAACCCUAGUCUGGGAACCUCCAUUUGCUGCAGGUGAGGCCCUAAAAAAAGACAAAAAUAUAUAUAUAUUAUUAUUAAGCUAUAACAAUUAAAACAGCUGAAUCCUGGCACACGGAUAGACUGCUAAAUGGAACAGAACAAAGCCCAGCAACAGAUCAAAUAGACACAACAGAUGAAACAGAUUCG